AAAAAAAAAAAAUUUUGUCUCGGGAAAUGGGGAAAAAUAAAACAUUUUAUGAAAUGAUACCGUGCAUGAUUUAAUUAAAAAUUACGGUGUGUGAAGCAUUGGAUCAGUAGGGAAACCCAAAAUUAUUAUCUUAGCGGACUCAGCGCCACUAUGCGGCAUCUCACGCGCAUCGCUACCUACCGUCCUCUCAGCCUUAUGGCCCCCUUCGUGGUCUUCCACUUCGUUGUCUAUGGAUAUACCAAUAGGGUUUCCCUAUUGAAAUACUGAUACAGGCCUGUUUUCAGAUAGUGUAUCAGCAAGAAUAUUAUACUGAAAUUCGCAAUUGUAAUGGAUUCGAAGAGGAUAUUGAUGGAGUUUUGGUAUCAAAAAGUAUAAGUACAUGUUCGUUGGAAGGGCAACCAAAGAGUUCCGGAUCCUUUUGCUAUCACACAAUAUUAUGUGCGUGUAAAACUAAAGGCUAAAAGAAGAAGAAGAAGAAUGAUUCAAAAAUUCUGGGAGAGAAUCAUCAAAGAAUUAUACUUGUUUAGAACUUUUUUGGUCGAGACGUUAUGGGUGUCUUAAAGGCACUGAAGGUUGCGUUAGAUGUCAUAAUCCACUACAAAAAGGAAACGCUGAAAAUCCCAGGUGGUGAUGGGAAUUAGUGGCAAUGUUACGGUGUAGAUAAAUUCAGAAAGUGUGACGCUAGCUGAUGUAAACCGCGCCAGCUGUGCUAUUACCGAGUCUUUCUCACUUUUGCCGCCUAGCAGGAAAAGGUUGUGAGAGUAGCAGAAGAAGAGAAAAUUGCAGUAAACCCGGUUUUGAAAGAAGCCAAACAUUCCGAUUGUAUGGGAGCCCAGCCUGUGGAAACAAAAACCCUAUGUUUCAGAUAGAAAGACAAAAGGAACACAUCGUUCCUCAGCCACUUCUGAGGACCACUGUCACCGAAAGAAAAUCACCUCGCUUAUAGACUCGGAAGGUGAAAGCGAGACCCAAAAGUUUUCCACAACGCAGCAAGUCCUCCACCGUUACAGACCACAAUGUGUAAAUGCGUCACAUCCGGGAAAUUAAUACUGCAGUAAUCAGAGCGAUAAAAAAAUUGGCACCAAUUCGUAUAUACCAGAUUAUGCCGCAACGCAUUCAAGAAUGGAGCUUAACACCUUGCAGGGCUGAAGAAAAUGAUAGAAAAGAAUUAGAACAAAUUUGUUGGCCGUAAAACAAACCGCGGGAGGCUCAGGAAGAGCUAGAUCUUAAACAAAAGGUUUUACUUUGUCUUGAAGUUUAUUCAUUUUUACGUUUUUUACUUAUGAAGAUGUGUUACUUGUUCUAGUGCUCUAAAGGAACUAGAUAACCAUAGCAAAGGCUUAUAAAUUUAGGGUUGACAUAAACUUUCGUGACGAAGCAGUUAAAGUAGGCGAAAGCGAAUCGACAAUUGAGUGCGCUACUGUCCCGUGCGUCACUCGCGGCAUCAGCAUUGCGGCAAGUAAGGCAUCCGACACAUGAAGGGAUGUUUCAACAAAUAAAACAAACGGGGUUCGGUCCAAUCUUUUAAACCAAAAUAGUGUGCAGUAAUAAGUUACACGGCGGUUACAAUCCCAGUAACCAAAUAUACUGGAGGCAAUUUCAAGUCCGGUGCAUUGCAAAAAUCCUAAUAAGGGAAUCAUACGAAUUAGUUUCUCGAAGUACAAGAUGACAUCCAUUGUUGUCCAUUUGUCAGAAAACUGAUGUAGAUUAGCGGUAUCCUGUAGUACGAGAAGUUUACCGAUAAGGAUCCUGUGUAGAUAAGAUGAUAGUCACCACCGACUCCGUUUUUAACGAUAUUCCUCUCAAUAGACAGUGUUAGCUGUAAUAGGGAUUCUACACAGGUUUGUGGUGGUUCAGAAACGUUUACCACGUUUUGCAACUAGACGUCAUAUGAAUGGUGCAGUUCCUAUCUGCAGCCCUGCAGUGUGCAAAAAUAAAUGGUGGAGAAAAUCUGCUCAUUAUGCUGAUCAGCACAAUGCCAGCUUCAUUAAGCAUUCUUGAAAUGACCUAUGAACAGACUACACAGUAUUAAAAGACUCUUCCCUUAAGGAGAUUUGUAGCAGUGGACUUUCUUUAGAAGACUUGUAUCAAAUAUUUGCCUGCUUCUUGGAACAAGGAACUUAGGAGGUCUUGAUGACAACCAAGUAUCCUUGGAAAGAUUGUAAAAAAGAUGUUUAAGCAGGAAAUACCUAAAGUUGGAGGACGGUACAUUUUUUUUUCCCGUUACUAGUUUUGUAAAACAAAUGGUAAAUUUGGUGAAAUGAAAACAACACAUGAUCUAUUACUUAAGAUCAAUUGUUUUCACAAGUGGAGAUUGAUUCCACAAUCUUCAGCUUCCAAGGCAGACAAUCCGCAAGGCAAUGGGAUAUACAUUUCCCCUAUAUUUUCGAGACAUCUAGUGGAGAAAUAACUAACUCCGUAGAACUUUUAUUGGUGUGUCAGCUGUCCCGUCAGCUGUUCCAUACUUCCAUUUCGCGUGGCUGCGGACUGAGGAUGGCUGCUGAAACGAACGUCAAUCUUCCUGAAAUUUUACCACCGAUUCCGUGUAUUUUGAGAUGCAUCUUGUGAAUUCAACCAAUGCAGAGUUGUUCAAGGAGGAACAUGGCUUGGCUAUGCUAGCAUGUUUUGUUUUUUGUUUUUUUUAAUCUCCGUUAGCCUGAUAUAUCCAUUUUGUUUCAAAGGUGAUACGUAAAAAGAAUAGUUCUUAACAAUCUUUUUCUCUAUCUAAAUCUCUUAGAUUCUUGGAGGUGUCUUAAGGUGAUGUUUGAAUUUAUUGUUAACAGUUUAAGUUUCGUAAAUCAUGCUUUCAGGUCUUUGGAAUGUACCUGAUGUACUGUGGUGGCCGCAAAAUCAUUCAAUGACUUGGUUCAAUCCAGGACUUUGUUUUCUUGGUAGUGGGUUACAGUUUUAAUUUGCAGAGAUUCUGGAGGCACCUGAUGUGUUUCAUUGGCAUUGGAGUCACUCGGUUACAGAAGAGAAUGCCACUACUGUUAUGUCGUCAGUGUAAAUAAAACAUAUCCAGUAUCA